GGCUGUAGCUCAGUGGUAGAGCCCUUGCCUAGCAUGUGCGAAGCCCUGGGUUGGAUCCUCAGCACCA
rnacentral:tRNA from 1 species